GAAUUCGCCCUUAGAGUUUGAUCCUGGCUCAGGACGAACGCUGGCGGCGCGCCUAACACAUGCAAGUCGAACGAGCGACAGAGAGCUUGCUUUCUCGAGCGAGUGGCUAACGGGUGAGUGACGCAUGGGGAACCUGCCUCAGAGGAGGGGGACAACCGUUCGGAAACGAUCUCCUAAUACACGCAUACUGCCCACUGACCCCGGCAUCGGCGUAGAGGGAAAAGGAGCUAAUCCGCUUUGAAGAUGGCCUCGCGUCCAUAUUACCUACUUGGUGAGGUAAUGGCCCUACCAAGGCGAUGAUCGGUAGCCGGACUGAGAGGUUGAACGGCCACAUUGGGACUGAGACCCGGCCCAGACUUCCUACGGGAGGCAGCCGUGGGGAAUAUUGCCCAAUGGGGGAAACCCUGAUGCAGCGACGCCGCGUGGAGGAAGAAGGUAUUUGGAUAGUAAACUCUCUGAUUGUUCAGGAAGAUAAUGACGGUACUCAACAAGGAAGUGACGGCUAAAUACGUGCCAGCAGCCGCGGUAAAACGUAGGUCACAAGCGUUGUCCGGAAUUACUGGGUGUAAAGGGAGCGCAGGCGGGAAGACAAGUUGGAAGUGAAAUCCAUGGGCUCAACCCAUGAACUGCUUUCAAAACUGUUUUUCUUGAGUGUUGCAGAGGUAGGCGGAAUUCCUGGUGUAGCGGUGGAAUGCGUAGAUAUUGGGAGGAACACCAGUGGCGAAGGCGGCUUACUGGGCACCCACUGACGUUGAGGCUCGAAAGUGUGGGUAGCAAACAGGAUUAGAUACCCUGGUAGUCCACACUGUAAACG
rnacentral:rRNA from 1 species